GUUGCUUCUUAUGGUGAACUCCCUGUAUACUUUGGUUGGGAUGUUCAAGUUUCCGAAGCAUAGAAAAAAUAGCCAGUAUUAAACAGCACUGUGCGUACUUUUUGCUUGCACCGUGUUACCUGUCUCCUGGUACAUUU